rnacentral:rRNA from 1 species
AGAGUUUGAUCCUGGCUCAGGAUGAACGCUAGCUACAGGCUUAACACAUGCAAGUCGAGGGGCAGCAUGGUCUUAGCUUGCUAAGGCCGAUGGCGACCGGCGCACGGGUGAGUAACACGUAUCCAACCUGCCGUCUACUCUUGGACAGCCUUCUGAAAGGAAGAUUAAUACAAGAUGGCAUCAUGAGUCCGCAUGUUCACAUGAUUAAAGGUAUUCCGGUAGACGAUGGGGAUGCGUUCCAUUAGAUAGUAGGCGGGGUAACGGCCCACCUAGUCUUCGAUGGAUAGGGGUUCUGAGAGGAAGGUCCCCCACAUUGGAACUGAGACACGGUCCAAACUCCUACGGGAGGCAGCAGUGAGGAAUAUUGGUCAAUGGGCGCGGGCCUGAACCAGCCAAGUAGCGUGAAGGAUGACUGCCCUAUGGGUUGUAAACUUCUUUUAUAAAGGAAUAAAGUCGGGUAUGGAUACCCGUUUGCAUGUACUUUAUGAAUAAGGAUCGGCUAACUCCGUGCCAGCAGCCGCGGUAAUACGGAGGAUCCGAGCGUUAUCCGGAUUUAUUGGGUUUAAAGGGAGCGUAGAUGGAUGUUUAAGUCAGUUGUGAAAGUUUGCGGCUCAACCGUAAAAUUGCAGUUGAUACUGGAUAUCUUGAGUGCAGUUGAGGCAGGCGGAAUUCGUGGUGUAGCGGUGAAAUGCUUAGAUAUCACGAAGAACUCCGAUUGCGAAGGCAGCCUGCUAAGCUGCAACUGACAUUGAGGCUCGAAAGUGUGGGUAUCAAACAGGAUUAGAUACCCUGGUAGUCCACACGGUAAACGAUGAAUACUCGCUGUUUGCGAUAUACAGCAAGCGGCCAAGCGAAAGCGUUAAGUAUUCCACCUGGGGAGUACGCCGGCAACGGUGAAACUCAAAGGAAUUGACGGGGGCCCGCACAAGCGGAGGAACAUGUGGUUUAAUUCGAUGAUACGCGAGGAACCUUACCCGGGCUUAAAUUGCAGAUGAAUUACGGUGAAAGCCGUAAGCCGCAAGGCAUCUGUGAAGGUGCUGCAUGGUUGUCGUCAGCUCGUGCCGUGAGGUGUCGGCUUAAGUGCCAUAACGAGCGCAACCCUUGUUGUCAGUUACUAACAGGUUCCGCUGAGGACUCUGACAAGACUGCCAUCGUAAGAUGUGAGGAAGGUGGGGAUGACGUCAAAUCAGCACGGCCCUUACGUCCGGGGCUACACACGUGUUACAAUGGGGGGUACAGAGGGCCGCUACCACGCGAGUGGAUGCCAAUCCCCAAAACCUCUCUCAGUUCGGACUGGAGUCUGCAACCCGACUCCACGAAGCUGGAUUCGCUAGUAAUCGCGCAUCAGCCACGGCGCGGUGAAUACGUUCCCGGGCCUUGUACACACCGCCCGUCAAGCCAUGGGAGCCGGGGGUACCUGAAGUGCGUAACCGCGAGGAGCGCCCUAGGGUAAAACUGGUGACUGGGGCUAAGUCGUAACAAGGUAGCCGUACCGGAAGGUGCGGCUG